UACGUAGGGUGCGAGCGUUGUCCGGAAUUAUUGGGCGUAAAGGGCUCGUAGGCGGUCUGUCGCGUCGGGAGUGAAAACUCAGGGCUUAACCCUGAGCCUGCUUCCGAUACGGGCAGACUAGAGGUAUGCAGGGGAGAACGGAAUUCCUGGUGUAGCGGUGAAAUGCGCAGAUAUCGGGAAGAACACCCGUGGCGAAGGCGGUUCUCUGGGACGGUACUGACGCUGAGACGCGAAAGCGUGGGAGCGAACAGG
rnacentral:rRNA from 1 species